GAUGAACGCUGGCGGCGUGCUUAACACAUGCAAGUCGAACGGAAAGGCCCUGCUUGCAGGGUACUCGAGUGGCGAACGGGUGAGUAACACGUGGGUGAUCUGCCCUGCACUUCGGGAUAAGCCUGGGAAACUGGGUCUAAUGCCGGAUAGGAGCCAUUUUUAGUGUGAUGGUUGGAAAGUUUUUUCGGUGUAGGAUGAGCUCGCGGCCUAUCAGCUUGUUGGUGGGGUAAUGGCCUACCAAGGCGGCGACGGGUAGCCGGCCUGAGAGGGUGGACGGCCACAUUGGGACUGAGAUACGGCCCAGACUCCUACGGGAGGCAGCAGUGGGGAAUAUUGCACAAUGGGCGCAAGCCUGAUGCAGCGACGCCGCGUGGGGGAUGACGGCCUUCGGGUUGUAAACUCCUUUCGCUAGGGACGAAGCUUUUUGUGACGGUACCUAGAUAAGAAGCACCGGCUAACUACGUG
rnacentral:rRNA from 1 species